rnacentral:rRNA from 1 species
AACCAAACCUAGCCCUAACAAACAUACAUACAAUAAUAGAUAAUCAUAAAAUAAAACAUUUAACAAUAAAGUAUAUGAGAUAGAAAAAUUACUAAGGCGCUAUAGAAAGAGUACCGUAAGGGAAAGAUGAAAGACUAUUCAUAGUAAAAAACAGCAGAGAUCUAACCUCCUACCUUUUGCAUAAUGGGCUAACUAGAAAUUUUUUGACAAAGAGAUCUUAAGUCAAAACCCCCGAAACCAGACGAGCUACUUAUGAACAAUUAUUAGAAUGAACUCGUCUAUGUGGCAAAAUAGUGAGAUGAUUUAUAAGUAGAGGUGAAAAGCCAAACGAGCCUGGAGAUAGCUGGUUGUCCAAAAAACGAAUCUAAGUUCGACCUAAAUCUGUGCCAAUCUAAACCCAAAAUUAAUAUGCAAGAUUUAAAGUUAUUCAAUAGAGGUACAGCUCUAUUGAAAGGGGAUUCAACCCUACAAGGAGAGUAAGAACAACUAUUAAUCAUAGUUGGCCUAAAAGCAGCCAUCAAUUAAGAAAGCGUUAAAGCUCAAUUAAAAUUUCCCUAUUAAUCCCUUUAAUAUGUACUAACUCCCUUACCUCUUAUUGGACCAUUCUAUUACAUCAUAGAAGAGAUAAUGUUAGCAUGAGUAACAAGAAUUAUUUCUCCGCGCAUGAGCUUAUAUCAGAACGAAUACCCACUGGUAGUUAACAGUCAAAUAAUUAUAAACCUCAUAUUAAUCCUUUAUUAAUACCACUGUUAACCCAACACAGGAGUGCGGCCCGGAAAGAUUAAAAGAAGUAGAAGGAACUCGGCAAACACGAACCCCGCCUGUUUACCAAAAACAUCACCUCUAGCAUUACUAGUAUUAGAGGCACUGCCUGCCCAGUGACACUAGUUAAACGGCCGCGGUACUCUGACCGUGCAAAGGUAGCAUAAUCAUUUGUCCUCUAAUUAAGGACUUGUAUGAACGGCUAGACGAGGGUUCAACUGUCUCCUACCUCCAAUCAGUGAAAUUGACCUUCCCGUGAAGAGGCGGGGAUAUUAAUAUAAGACGAGAAGACCCUAUGGAGCUUAAAUUUAUUUACCUACUAGCAACCACUAUAACCCUACUAGGAGCAUCAUACACCUAACUAGGUAAAAAAUUUCGGUUGGGGUGACCUCGGAGCAUAAAAAACCCUCCGAACGACAUUCUAUCAUGAUCUACCGAUCUACAUUCUAGUCAAAUUGACCCAAUACAAUUGAUCAACGGAACAAGUUACCCUAGGGAUAACAGCGCAAUUCUAUUCGAGAGUUCAUAUCGACAAUAGAGUUUACGACCUCGAUGUUGGAUCAGGACACCCCAAUGGUGCAGCAGCUAUUAAAGGUUCGUUUGUUCAACGAUUAAAGUCCUACGUGAUCUGAGUUCAGACCGGAGCAAUCCAGGUCGGUUUCUAUCUAUACUCAAUUUCUCCCAGUACGAAAGGACAAGAGAAAUAGGACCAACUCUACAGGAGAGCCCUAACUAAAUCUAUGAAAUAAUCUUAAUUAAGAUAACUAGAUUAAAAUUAACCCUAGAGCAGGGUGC